GUGGAAUCAGACCAAAGGAAGUUAGGUGUAUUAUUUUAAUGGCUGGUAUCAUUUAUCUUUAUUUUAUGGAGAUAGCUGUCAUAUAGACUAUAGAUUACCUCUUAUUUGUAGCCCACAAUAUCCUCACCUCUAAAUUCUCUUAGGAGACUCAAAUUUGCCUCUGUAAUACUUCCUUUCAGGUGCUUCUCUUGCUAAGUUCCUACACCCACCUCUUUACUUCUUGUUAUCUAACGCUUACAUUGAGUAUUACAUAGUUGAGACUCAGCCUGGGAGCUUUUCUUUCUUCAUAAGGUGACUCUUCAUAACUACACUCUCAUCUACUCUGUAUGUUUUAUACUUUAACCUGAAAGCACUAUUAUUUUCCCAAGUGGUUGGUGAUGGUGGAAGUAUUUCCAAGGGAAAAAUAUGUUCUUUAAAAGCAAGAGCUGUCUUGAUUGAUAUGGAAGAAGGGGUAGUGAAUGAAAUUCUGCAGGGACCACUGAGAGAUGUAUUUGAUACGAAACAGCUCAUCACUGAUAUUUCUGGCUCAGGAAAUAAUUGGGCUGUGGGUCACAAAGUUUUCGGCAGUCUUUACCAAGACCAGAUUUUAGAGAAACUCAGAAAGUCGGCAGAGCACUGUGAUUGCUUGCAGUGUUUCUUUAUAAUACAUUCCAUGGGAGGAGGAACAGGAUCUGGACUUGGCACAUUUCUUUUAAAGGUGCUUGAAGACGAAUUCCCAGAAGUAUACAGAUUUGUGACUUCCAUUUAUCCUUCUGGUGAGGAUGAUGUCAUAACCUCACCUUAUAAUAGCAUGUUGGCAAUGAAGGAACUUAAUGAGCAUGCAGACUGUGUGUUGCCCAUUGACAAUCAAUCUUUAUUUGACAUCAUUAGCAAAAUCGACCUCAUGGUGAAUUCUGGAAAGUUGGGUACAACUGUGAAGCCAAACAGUCUGGUUACUUCAAGUUCUGGGACUUUAAAAAAGCGGCAUAAGAAGCCAUUUGAUGCAAUGAAUAACAUUGUGGCAAAUCUGCUGCUCAACCUAACAAGCUCUGCAAGAUUUGAAGGGUCCCUUAAUAUGGACCUUAAUGAAAUCAGCAUGAAUUUAGUUCCUUUUCCUCAACUUCAUUAUCUCGUGUCAAGCCUAACACCUCUGUAUACACUGACAGAUGUUAACAUUCCUCCUAGAAGAUUGGAUCAGAUGUUUUCAGAUGCCUUUAGUAAAGAUCACCAGCUGCUUCAGGCGGACCCCAAACACAGUCUUUACCUCGCCUGUGCGCUCAUGGUUAGAGGAAAUGUACAAAUUUCAGAUCUUCGUAGAAAUAUUGAAAGAUUAAAACCGUCUCUACAAUUUGUCUCCUGGAAUCAAGAAGGCUGGAAGACCAGCCUGUGUUCCGUACCUCCUGUGGGCCAUUCUCAUUCGUUAUUAGCUUUAGCAAAUAACACCUGUGUGAAGCCCACCUUCAUGGAACUGAAAGAGAGAUUCAUGAGGCUCUACAAGAAAAAGGCUCACCUUCAUCACUAUCUACAAGUUGAAGGGGUAGAAAAAAGCUGUUUCACAGAAGCUGUGUCAUCUUUAUCAGCACUCAUACAGGAAUAUGACCAACUGGACACCACAAAAAACAUGCCUGUGCAAGAUUUACCCAGACUAAGCAUAGCUAUGUGAAAAAGAAACCCUCAAAAAACUUUCUUAAUUUCACGUUGUUUUUUCUGACCUUUCUGUUUCAACAUUUUUCUAAUUUGGAAACUCCAGUUUUUUUCAUGUUAUCAGGAAAUAUUUUUGUCUAAAAGAGUGAUUUCUGUUUAAUCACAA
rnacentral:sRNA from 1 species